rnacentral:rRNA from 1 species
GACGUAGGAGGCGAGCGUUGUCCGGAUUCAUUGGGCGUAAAGAGCGCGCAGGCGGCUUGGUAAGUCGGAUGUGAAAACCCGAGGCUCAACCUCGGGCGUGCAUCCGAUACUGCUCGGCUAGAGGUAGGUAGGGGAGAUCGGAAUUCCUGGUGUAGCGGUGAAAUGCGCAGAUAUCAGGAGGAACACCGGUGGCGAAGGCGGAUCUCUGGGCCUUACCUGACGCUGAGGUGCGAAAGCGUGGGGAGCAAACAGG